ACACUUCCGAGAAAACACUUGGACCCCA
rnacentral:sRNA from 1 species